rnacentral:snRNA from 1 species
AUACUUACCUGGCAAGGGAGACACCGUGAUCAAGAAGGCGGUUCACCCAGGGUGAGGCUCAGCCAUUGCACUCCGGCUGUGCUGACCCCUGCGAAUUUCCCAAAUGUGGAAAUCUCGAUUGCAUAAUUUCUGGUAGUCGGGGACUGCGUUCGCGCUCUCCCCUG